UCAAACUUGGUCAUUUAGAGGAAGUAAAAGUCGUAACAAGGUUUCCGUAGGUGAACCUGCGGAAGGAUCAUUAACAAGCCGUGAAGGUCGCCCUGCAAAGGAGCGAUCUCACAUCAUGGCCACCCUUGUUUACUCUUAACCUGUUGCUUUGGUGGGCCCGCCGCCAAGGCCGCUGGGGGACCUGGUUCCCGGGCCAGUGCCCACCAAAGACUUUUGAACUCUUGGGCGUUGUUUUUGCGGUCUGAGUUAGGCAAAUGCAAAGUCUUUAAAAACUUUCAACAACGGAUCUCUUGGUUCUGGCAUCGAUGAAGAACGCAGC
rnacentral:misc_RNA from 1 species